rnacentral:rRNA from 1 species
UACGAGGGGGGCGAGCGUUGUUCGGAAUUAUUGGGCGUAAAGGGUGCGUAGGCGGUUCGGUAAGUUUUGUGUGAAAUCUUCGGGCUUAACUCGAAGUCUGCACAAGAUACUGCCGGGCUUGAGUAUGGGAGAGGGAUGCGGAAUUCCAGGUGUAGCGGUGAAAUGCGUAGAUAUCUGGAGGAACACCGGUGGCGAAGGCGGCAUCCUGGACCAUUACUGACGCUGAGGAGCGAAAGCCAGGGGAGCAAACAGG